UAGGCGGUGGCGGCGUGCUAAUACAUGCAGUCGAGCGGACAGAUGGGAGCUUGCUCCCUGAUGUUAGCGGCGGACGGGUGAGUAACACGUGGGUAACCUGCCUGUAAGACUGGGAUAACUCCGGGAAACCGGGGCUAAUACCGGAUGCUUGUUUGAACCGCAUGGUUCAAACAUAAAAGGUGGCUUCGGCUACCACUUACAGAUGGACCCGCGGCGCAUUAGCUAGUUGGUGAGGUAAUGGCUCACCAAGGCAACGAUGCGUAGCCGACCUGAGAGGGUGAUCGGCCACACUGGGACUGAGACACGGCCCAGACUCCUACGGGAGGCAGCAGUAGGGAAUCUUCCGCAAUGGACGAAAGUCUGACGGAGCAACGCCGCGUGAGUGAUGAAGGUUUUCGGAUCGUAAAGCUCUGUUGUUAGGGAAGAACAAGUACCGUUCGAAUAGGGCGGUACCUUGACGGUACCUAACCAGAAAGCCACGGCUAACUACGUGCCAGCAGCCGCGGUAAUACGUAGGUGGCAAGCGUUGUCCGGAAUUAUUGGGCGUAAAGGGCUCGCAGGCGGUUUCUUAAGUCUGAUGUGAAAGCCCCCGGCUCAACCGGGGAGGGUCAUUGGAAACUGGGGAACUUGAGUGCAGAAGAGGAGAGUGGAAUUCCACGUGUAGCGGUGAAAUGCGUAGAGAUGUGGAGGAACACCAGUGGCGAAGGCGACUCUCUGGUCUGUAACUGACGCUGAGGAGCGAAAGCGUGGGGAGCGAACAGGAUUAGAUACCCUGGUAGUCCACGCCGUAAACGAUGAGUGCUAAGUGUUAGGGGGUUUCCGCCCCUUAGUGCUGCAGCUAACGCAUUAAGCACUUCCGCCUGGGGAGUACGGUCGCAAGACUGAAACUCAAGGAUUUGACGGGGGCCCGCACAAGCGGUGGAGCAUGUGGUUUAUUCGAAGCACGCGAAGAACC
rnacentral:rRNA from 1 species